GGGUGAGUAACACGUGAGUAACCUGCCCUCCACUCUGGGAUAAGCGCUGGAAACGGCGUCUAAUACCGGAUAUGAGNUUCCACCGCAUGGUGGGGGUUGGAAAGAAUUUCGGUGGGGGAUGGACUCGCGGCCUAUCAGCUUGUUGGUGAGGUAAUGGCUCACCAAGGCGACGACGGGUAGCCGGCCUGAGAGGGUGACCGGCCACACUGGGACUGAGACACGGCCCAGACUCCUACGGGAGGCAGCAGUGGGGAAUAUUGCACAAUGGGCGCAAGCCUGAUGCAGCAACGCCGCGUGAGGGAUGACGGCCUUCGGGUUGUAAACCUCUUUUAGUAGGGAAGAAGCGAAAGUGACGGUACCUGCAGAAAAAGCACCGGCUAACUACGUGCCAGCAGCCGCGGUAAUACGUAGGGUGCAAGCGUUGUCCGGAAUUAUUGGGCGUAAAGAGCUCGUAGGCGGUUUGUCGCGUCUGCUGUGAAAUCCCGAGGCUCAACCUCGGGCCUGCAGUGGGUACGGGCAGACUAGAGUGCGGUAGGGGAGAUUGGAAUUCCUGGUGUAGCGGUGGAAUGCGCAGAUAUCAGGAGGAACACCGAUGGCGAAGGCAGAUCUCUGGGCCGUAACUGACGCUGAGGAGCGAAAGGGUGGGGAGCAAACAGGCUUAGAUACCCUGGUAGUCCACCCCGUAAACGUUGGGAACUAGAUGUAGGGUCCAUUCCACGG
rnacentral:rRNA from 1 species